CCGCCGGCGACCGGCGCACGGGUGAGUAACACGUAUGCAACCUGGCCGUGACAGAUGGAUAACCGGGAGAAAUCCCGCCUAAUACAACAUAAUGCCGGGAGGGGACAUCCCCUGCCGGCCAAAGGGGGCGACCCCGGUCACGGAUGGGCAUGCGGCGCAUUAGGCAGUAGGCGGGGUAACGGCCCACCUAACCGACGAUGCGUAGGGGUUCUGAGAGGAAGGUCCCCCACACUGGUACUGAGACACGGACCAGACUCCUACGGAAGGCAGCAG
rnacentral:rRNA from 1 species